rnacentral:rRNA from 1 species
AUUGAACGCUGGCGGCAUGCCUUACACAUGCAAGUCGAACGGCAGCACGGGGCAACCUGGUGGCGAGCGGCGAACGGGUGAGUAAUGCAUCGGAACGUACCUUUCAGUGGGGGAUAACGUAGCGAAAGUUACGCUAAUACAGCAUAUUCUGUGAGCAGGAAAGCAGGGGAUCGCAAGACCUUGCGCUGAUUGAGAGGCGGAUGUCAGAUUAGCUAGUUGGUGAGGUAAAGGCUCACCAAGGCGACGAUCUGUAGCGGGUCUGAGAGGAUGAUCCGCCACACUGGAACUGAGACACGGUCCAGACUCCUACGGGAGGCAGCAGUGGGGAAUUUUGGACAAUGGGGGCAACCCUGAUCCAGCCAUGCCGCGUGAGUGAAGAAGGCCUUCGGGUUGUAAAGCUCUUUCGGCCGGGAAGAAAUCGCACGGGCUAAUACCCUGUGUGGAUGACGGUACCGGAAUAAGAAGCACCGGCUAACUACGUGCCAGCCGCCGCAGUAAAAC